rnacentral:rRNA from 1 species
AGAGUUUGAUCCUGGCUCAGGACGAACGCUGGCGGCGUGCCUAACACAUGCAAGUCGAACGGGGUAAAGACUUCGGUUUUUACUUAGUGGCGAACGGGUGAGUAACGCGUGAGAAACCUGCCUUUCAGUGGGGGACAACAGUUGGAAACGACUGCUAAUACCGCAUAAUGUUAUUUGGGGGCAUCCCCGGAUAACCAAAGAUUUAUUGCUGAAAGAUGGUCUCGCGUCUGAUUAGCUAGUUGGUGAGGUAACGGCUCACCAAGGCGACGAUCAGUAGCCGGUCUGAGAGGAUGAACGGCCACAUUGGGACUGAGAUACGGCCCAGACUCCUACGGGAGGCAGCAGUGGGGAAUAUUGGGCAAUGGGGGAAACCCUGACCCAGCAACGCCGCGUGAAGGAAGAAGGCCUUCGGGUUGUAAACUUCUUUUACCAGGGACGAACAAAUGACGGUACCUGGAGAAAAAGCAACGGCUAACUACGUGCCAGCAGCCGCGGU